CCUACGGGUGGCAGCAGUGAGGAAUAUUGGUCAAUGGGCGGAAGUCUGAACCAGCCAUGUCGCGUGCAGGAUGACGGCCCUAUGAGUUGUAAACUGCUUUUGUACGGGAAUAAUAGUUCUUACGUGUAGGGAUUUGAGUGUAUCGUACGAAUAAGCAUCGGCUAACUCCGUGCCAGCAGCCGCGGUAAUACGGAGGAUGCGAGCGUUAUCCGGAUUUAUUGGGUUUAAAGGGUGCGCAGGCGGUCUGUUAAGUCAGCGGUAAAAUUGAGAGGCUCAACCUCUUCGAGCCGUUGAAACUGGUUGUCUUGAGUGAGCGAGAAGUAUGCGGAAUGCGUGGUGUAGCGGUGAAAUGCAUAGAUAGCACGCAGAACUCCGAUUGCGAAGGCAGCAUACCGGCGCUCAACUGACGCUCAUGCACGAAAGUGUGGGUAUCGAACAGGAUUAGAUACCCUAGUAGUC
rnacentral:rRNA from 1 species